rnacentral:rRNA from 1 species
GUGGAUUAGAUACCCUGGUCGUCCACGCCCUAAACGAUGAUCACUCGAUGUGUGCGAUACACUGUACGCGUCUGAGCGAAAGCAUUAAGUGAUCCACCUGGGGAGUACGACCGCAAGGUUGAAACUCAAAGGAAUUGACGGGGGCCCGCACAAGCGGAGGAGCAUGUGGUUUAAUUCGAUGAUACGCGAGGAACCUUACCAGGGCUUGAAAGUUAGUGAAGUAUGUGGAAACAUGUACGUCAGCAAUGACACGAAACUAGGUGCUGCACGGUCGUCGUCAGCG